rnacentral:tRNA from 1 species
GUGUAGCUCAGUGGUAAAGCAUGUACUUAGCAUGCACAAAGCCCUGGGUUCAAUCCCCCAGCACA